GAUGAACGCUGGCGGCGUGCCUAAUACAUGCAAGUCGAGCGAACAGACGAGGAGCUUGCUCCUCUGACGUUAGCGGCGGACGGGUGAGUAACACGUGGAUAACCUACCUAUAAGACUGGGAUAACUUCGGGAAACCGGAGCUAAUACCGGAUAAUAUAUUGAACCGCAUGGUUCAAUAGUGAAAGACGGUUUUGCUGUCACUUAUAGAUGGAUCCGCGCCGCAUUAGCUAGUUGGUAAGGUAACGGCUUACCAAGGCAACGAUGCGUAGCCGACCUGAGAGGGUGAUCGGCCACACUGGAACUGAGACACGGUCCAGACUCCUACGGGAGGCAGCAGUAGGGAAUCUUCCGCAAUGGGCGAAGGCCUGACGGAGCAACGCCGCGUGAGUGAUGAAGGUCUUCGGAUCGUAAAACUCUGUUAUUAGGGAAGAACAAAUGUGUAAGUAACUAUGCACGUCUUGACGGUACCGAAUCAGAAAGCCACGGCGAACUACGU
rnacentral:rRNA from 1 species